GAGACUCCACACAGCACCCUCCUCACGGCGCGCACACCCACAUCGGCAUGCAUUCCGGUACCAGUCACCUUGGAGCUGGCCAAACUUGGGGAUCCAAAAAGCGGUCCUGCUUCCUAGCGGGUGUUGAGCUCUGCAGCGUCGUCCCCCACGAACCUCCCUGCCCCCUGCUCCUGAUUCCCUUUCAGGAAUUUACAAACAUUUUUCCCUAGAUCAAUAUCCGUAUUGAUUAUUCAUUGUGAGCGAGUCGUGUGUCUUUGGUGAUCCAGCUUGCAGAGGGUAGCAGCUAAAGACGGCUGCAGGGGGAGAAAAAUAACAGAAGGUGAGAAGGACCCAGCUCUGGCUGAGGUCUGCGGCUGUCACAUCACAGAGAGGAGGAGGAAGAAGAAGAGAAUGGUCCAGAAUGAAAGGAUGGAGAAGGGUGUAAAAGAAAGAGGACGCAACUGCAAGAAAGAAAGAUGUGAGGACUGCAUUGGUCUUAGGGAUCUCAAUGGCUUGGAGGAAAGCCCCAUCAACUUGGGUCUGCUGCUAGGUGCAAAAUGCCGAGCUGUUCCUCUGCUCUGGGAGUGAAAAGUGACUCACGGUUUUGGUGUCUUCCUACGUAAGAGCUUUUGGUGGGGGGAUUCCUUGGCUUGCUGACAGACAAGGAAGGACGCAGCAGCAGUGAGGUAAAAGAAGAGGAAGGAAAAAAAAAAAAAAAAAAGCAACCCAGUCCUUUCCAACCGCCUUGCCGACGAUGCGCACCCGUUCGGUUUGAUUUGAACAGCUUGCUGCUCUAAAUGGCAUGCGGAAGGAGGAUAAUUAAAAAGGCCAGCAUCACUUACUAAGUGAGUAAACACAAAGCCGUUCCAAACGUGCUCUCCAGCUAAUGAGGAGCUGUGAUUUCUUAUACUUCAAGGCAAAACAAGACAGGGAUGGGGGCUCGCUCAGCCGAGUGUAUGUCUGCAUGGGGAUGUGGAAAUGGGGGGUGGGCAGUGGUCCUUGCUGAUGGAGAUAAAUCGACUAAUUGUUGGUGAUAUUUAAAAAGGGGAUUACUGGAAAAAGACAGUGAGAGGAUGACAGGAAGACAUCUUGGACCAGAGCCAAAAAAUAAUAAUAAUCAAGGCAAAUCAAGUCUGCAAUUCGGAGGAAACACCCAUGACUUGGGAAGCUCCCGAUGGGAACAUGGGAACCCGCUGGAGUUCCAAAGCCGAGUCUGGGAAUAUUGUUGUGGGCACAAGAGGACAAGAUUCAGGAGAGAGUCAUGGCAUGCCGGCUUACACAGCUGUGCCACACACUGAGGAAAAAGAAAACCCAAACCAAAUCCACACCAGACCCAAACAGUGAAAGCCAACAUAUAUCCUUUGCAUUGGAGUCUUUGUGCUGGCUCCAAGUCAUCCCAUCUAUUUAAAGCAAUUCCACAACGUGCCUCCUGCUAGUAGCUGCUAGUCCUCUUGCCUGUCUCCAGAAGCUGCCUCGCUGUUGCAGGGUGAUAGUGGGAAGACGUGGUUGGGAAAAAUCAGUUUUCCAUUGGCUGGGCUUCUGGCAAAUGUGCCAGGUGAUUGUUGUUGCCAUUUGGACCGACCUACGGGAGCUGGUUGGGAAUUCCUCUUCUGGUGUCUCCCAGCUGUGGCUUGGUGAGUCCCAAACCAACCGUGAACUCUUUUUAUACAGUGUUCCAAAUACACUCGGACAAAGUGGGAACCCCAAGGAAUAAAAAAUUCCUUUCUCUGGGUGUUCAGUUAA
rnacentral:lncRNA from 1 species